CCCUUUGAUACUCUGGGCGGCACGCGCGCUACACUGGUUUAUAUAACGUGUAAUUUGGACGAUAGUCUGUAUAAAUCACUAAUAUAAAACCGUGAAUGGGAUAGUUUAUUGCAACUUACAAACUUUAACUAGGAAUCCCUUGUAGAAGUAGUGAAUUAUACUGCUUCGAAUACGUCCCUGCUGAUUGUACACACCGCCCGUCGUUUCUUCCGACUGGUACUCAUUGUGAAUUGCGAGGAGAUUCUGUCAAAUCGUUGUAAAUGCUGGGUAUUGGAGGAAGAAAAAGUCGUAACA
rnacentral:rRNA from 1 species